rnacentral:lncRNA from 1 species
GAGGCUGCAAGACUAGGACUCCAAUUCAUGGAGCUGGUGACAAUCAUCUUCAUUUUGCUUCAUAGACAUCUUGGCUCCUCGAUAGUUUUAGUCAAUUAUUUAACAUUUCAACUCAUGCCAUCUCUGAGAAGCUUUACUUUCUCCAUUCCUUCAUUAAGUUCCUAAUAUGCUGUGAUUCCAAUUUCAAUAUACCAGUUCUGACAUAUUGACAGUGAUUGAGUCAUCAAGGAAUGAAACUUGAAUUUAACUUUCAUAUAUUGACUGGAUUUUGCAUGUAGACCUGUAGUUUUCUUACCUGUGAAUCCAAGUGGAAGAACUUUCACUUGGAAGCGAUAAGAUAUGUUAUUUCUAGUUUCCAUACAUAAUUCUUUAUUUAGUCCAAAAGGGAGGGCCAGUUUGCUCAGUUUUGGAUGGGUGUUUUUUUAUCUUUAACUAAAGCUGGUUGGGUUUCACAGUGUUGGACUCUUGCAACUUGGUUUGCCUUUCUAAACUACUAAAUUUGCUUAGUCCCUGCCAUCCUGGGCAGAAUAUCAAUAACAUGGUAAUUCAUCUUGAAUUGCCAUUUUUUUUCAUGGAGAAAAAUUAAAAUGCAAGAAUUUGUUGAUUAUUGUCCAGUCCAAAUGGCAAAUGGUGACAAGCCAGACUUUUUGUCCUGUCAUUUAUAUAGUUUAUGAACUUUUCUGGAUGUCUUUUAUUUGUUUGUCCAUUGUCCUGUGUAAAUCUUUUGUGCAGGGCUAAUGAGUUUUUUUGGUGUUGUUUCUACAGCAAUUUCUCCCUCUAGGAAAGCAUUGGGAUUUGUCAUUCUAGUGGAUGAAGGGGCGACGUGUUAGAGAUGCAUGUUUGCUCAUCGAUGUUCCUUUCUGGUUGUUGAUUGCAUAUUCAUUAUUGAGGAAGUUAGUGGAUUGUCGAUUCCCAUUAGUAGGCUGUAUAGAAAUAUAGGAAGGGGGCAUUACUUGUACUAUUUGCCUAGUUAUGCGCAUUAGAAGCAUAGUGGUGCAGAACUCUUGAAAAACAAUUAUCCACUUUGAAUUAAUUUUGGUUUAAGUAGCUCCAAACGUAACUCUGUAAAACACUCGAAUUACAAUGUUACAAACAAUAUGUGUGAUCUUGACAGCUUUAGAGACUGCUACAUGAAAAAACAACCGAGUUUUCCGUGCAUCAAACAAUCAUUACCUUAAUUUGCACCAAUAGAUCUUGAUAUUUUCUGCUGAUGACUAUUAUGACGAAUUCAUGCUUUUAUAAUUCAUGAGGGCAAGAAUGCCUUUAUUAGAAGAGAUGAUAAUGUUAUGCAGUUAUGGUGACAGUCUAUGUUACAUGACCUCGGGUAGGGAUAUCAUGUGUGGGUAUGUGUUUGUUUGAGUGUGGGAGUCAUCUAAUCCCUUGUAAACGACUAGGGGACACCCCAAAAUAUCAAAUUUGGUAAUAUAUGAUUCUUUAGUUUUGUUGGAUAAAUGUUGUUUACAAGGUGUCAAGAGUGCAUUUCAUGCAUAAUUUGAGAGUUUUAGCGUAGUUCUACAUCAAACUCAAAUCACUAAGUUAUGUUUCGUAGAUGAAGUCCAACUAAAUAUUGGACACGUACCCUAACCGAAAGUGUAAAUGUCCCACAUG